GACGAACGCUGGCGGCGUGCUUAACACAUGCAAGUCGAACGAAAAGGCCCGACGUUUGUGGCGUUCUCGUUUGGCGAACACGUGAGUAACACAUGAGGAACCCCUCCUUAACUGUCUGAGAUAUUCAGGAAAAUCGGUCUAAUAUCCGGGAUAAUCUUCUGCUCCAUGUGGUUGAAUGGAAAAUUUCGGCGGUUGGGUAUGUACUCGCUGCUUAUCAGCUGGUUGGUGGGGUAGUGGCUGUCCAAGGCUUUGACGGGUAGCCGGCCUGGGAGGGUGACCGGCCACAUUGGGACUGAGAUACGGCCCAGACUCCUACGGGAGGCAGCAGUGGGGAAUAUUGCACAAUGGGCGGAAGCCUGAUGCAGCAACGCCGCGUGCGGGAUGACGGCCUUCGGGUUGUAAACCGCUUUCGCCUGUGACGAAGCGUGAGUGACGGUAAUGGGUAAAGAAGCACCGGCUAACUACGUG
rnacentral:rRNA from 1 species